GCUUUUAUAUUGUAGGUUUUUGCUCAUGCACCAUGGUUGUCUGAGCAUGCAGCAUGCUUGUCUGCUCAUACCCCAUGGUUUCUGAGCAGGAAUCUUCAUUGUCUACUGCU
rnacentral:pre_miRNA from 8 species